GUCCAAGUGGCGGAACUGGCAGACGCGCCCAGCUCAAACCCGGGAGCCCUUUGCGGCAUUGUGGGUUCGAUUCCCACCUUGGACA
rnacentral:tRNA from 1 species